GAUGAACGCUGGCGGCGUGCCUAAUACAUGCAAGUCGAGCGAACGGACGAGAAGCUUGCUUCUCUGAUGUUAGCGGCGGACGGGUGAGUAACACGUGGAUAACCUACCUAUAAGACUGGGAUAACUUCGGGAAACCGGAGCUAAUACCGGAUAAUAUUUUGAACCGCAUGGUUCAAAAGUGAAAGACGGUCUUGCUGUCACUUAUAGAUGGAUCCGCGCUGCAUUAGCUAGUUGGUAAGGUAACGGCUUACCAAGGCAACGAUGCAUAGCCGACCUGAGAGGGUGAUCGGCCACACGGGAGCUGAGACACGGUCCAGACUCCUACGGGAGGCAGCAGUAGGGAAUCUGCCGCAGUGGGCGAAAGCCUGACGGAGCAAUGCCGCGUGAGAGAUGGAGGUCUUCGGAUCGUAAAACUCUGUUAUUAGGGAAGAACAUAUGUGUAAGUAACUGUGCACAGCUUGACGGUACCUAAUCAGAAAGCCACGGCUAACUACGUG
rnacentral:rRNA from 1 species